GGGAGCGGCCGGGGAGGGGCGGGGCCGGGCGGCUUCCGGGCCGGCGAGCUUAAUAAAGAUAACAUGUAGCCUUGUGGGAUUUACUGUUAUCAUGGAACGUUUCUCUGAUUCUUCCAAGUUGUCAAGGUGAUAUUAUUCAGCGAUAAAAAAACUGAGUACUGACACGUGCUGCAAUUUGGAAGAGCCUGGGAAACACUGAGCUAAUGAAAGACAUCCAUCCGAGAAGGCCCCACGAGAUGACUCCACUUACCUGAGAGGUCUGGACUAAGCAGAUGAGCAGAGACGGGAAGCAGGCCAGUGGCUGCCCAGGACCGAGGGGCGGGGCCUGCGUGGUGGGAAGAAAUGGGAAGUGACUGCCAGUGGUUUCUUUCUGGGGUAAUGGAAGGUUCUAACAUUGGAUUGUGGCGAUGGUGAUGUACAGCCCAGGACAUAUAUCUUAAAAUACUUAAUUAUACACUUAAAAUGGGUGCAUCGUGUGGUAUGUGAAUCUCCAGAAGGCUUUUUAAAGUGAACGUAGCAGCUCUCCCUAGAUGCUGAGCUUUUUUGCUUUUUAUCUUUUUGCUCGUCUGUGUCUUCUACAGUGAGCAAGUGUUUCUAGUUGUCAGGAAAAGGGAAGUCAUUAGUUUAAAUGGCUUGUCACGGCAAGGUAACUUCUUAGAAUUAAGGAGAGAAGCUCAUGGGUUUAAGACCAGUAACUGCAGAGGAAACUGCUCCUUUCUCCCAGACCAUUUCCCACAUCUCAUUGUCCUCCACUGGGGAGGAUGGUUUUUCUCCUUUUUUUCCAUCAGAUAAUGAGAUCUGGUGGGUGUUCUUACUUUUUUCACGUUGUGUGGUGAUUCAUUCCGGCUGAGCGCCUUUACAUUUUUGGCUUUUCACUGUUCGCUGCAGCCCGAGAGCCUCUGUGCUUUGAGAUCUUAGUUUGGAUGGUACUGCAUUCAGUGGGGUUUCACAAAUUGGGUUUAAGACUUUAAUCCACUUCAGCACAUCCUUCCCUGACUCCAUGGCCAGUUAGCAUUUGGGGUAAUCCCUCCACAGUGAUAAAUACAAGCAACAGUGAAUGUGUUUUGCCAAAAAAAAAAAAAAAUCUUAAAUUUCAAUCUGACAGUAUAAUAAUAUACUGUGGGAAUUAAAAUGACUGUUAAAAUAGAUUAUAAAUAGUCUGAAAGAAUAUAUAAAAGUAUUUUGAAGAAUUGGAGAUUUUCUCUUUAUUGUAGCAUAAGUUAAUAUGUUGAUUAAUUCUUUUUGGCAGGUGGGUGAAUCAGUCAGUAUCAGAUGAUAACUGGGCUUAAGGAAAAUAACUAUGGAGUCACACUUGCUUAAAAGAGACAUACUUGGUCGAAAGGUUACAUGGCUUAAACAGAAAAAUCCAUGAAGAAGUAAUAAUAUCAGAUUUUCUUCUUAGCAACCAUGAAGUUAGAAAUGACUACAUUAAUACUGGCGGGGGGCACACGUCAGAAAAUCUGAUACAGUUCAUUGAAAGGCAAUUCCAAAAGCUGAAAGCAUUAUAAAAUACAAUUACUAAAAGCAUUAUAAAAGUGUUAUUAUGUGAAGCACAAAGAUAUAUUUGCAUGAAAUUUUGCAAAAAACUUCAAGUCUAAGGUUUCUGCCCAUGUUUGAAUUUGUAUCCUUGAAGUCAACAUUGUGAAAAACAGCAGGAGUUCUGCAGAGGCUCCUGGAAAUGGGGAAUGUGGGUGGCAGCCUUCAGUUUUCUACCAAGGGGAGAUUUCAUCUCAGUACUGGCUCAGGAGUUUAUAGAAAAGUGGGAAAAACGCUUAGAAGCCAGUGCUGGGUUUCAGUGGCCACUUAUGGGAAUGUCUGCAUCUUUGCAGUAUUAAUUGGUCAGUGGCGACCCCCCCUGAAUUCUGAGGUGGAAAAGGGAAGGCCCUUAUAUGGUGAAGAAAAUGACAACCCACUCCAGUCCUCUUGCCUGGAGAAUCCCAUGGACGGAGGAGCCUGGUAGGCUACAGUUCAUGGGGGUCGCAAAGAGUCGGACACGACUGAGCGACUUCACUUUCACUUCACUUUAUAUGGCAAUGCAGGCAGACCACGGCUGGGCUCGAACCCAGGGUCAAAAGUGUUUGCGACAGGACAGCCCAGACACGUGUGAAGAGCCCAGACUGUAGCCGUGUGGGGGCCCUGGAGACUUGACUUAAGCCAGGACCAGAGGACGGAGCAUGGGGGACAUGCCAGCAGAGUCAACACGCGUUGCACGUGUCCACUCAGGACUGCUAGGUGAUAGUUAUUUUGGAGGAAACAAUGACGCAGGCUUUAUCAGAGCCCUUUGCUAAGAUUGCCCGCCUGUGUCCCAUCUGCCUCACCUGCUCUGCUCAGAUUCCUUGAGGCAAAGACCCUGGAGUUUCCCCUUGGUGUCACCAGCACCUUUGCAGACCAAAACCAUUUGAAUGAUUUGCAAGGAUUUAACCGUCUACCAGGGUACUGCCUAAAGGAUAGGAAUCUGCUUUCCAGUCGCAAGUAGUCAGCAGAGAGAGCUGCUCACAGGAGCCGACUGCAGAUCCUCUCGGGAAGAAAACCACUGAGGGGGCUCCUGGCCCCUAAUGCUCUCUGCCUUCAUGCUCUUGUUGCUGCUGAGAGUUGCUGCUGUUCAGUCCCUCAGUCGUGUCCGACUCUGCGACCCUGUGGCCUGAAGCCCGCCAGCAUCCUCUGUCCGUGGAACUUUCCAGAUUCAUCUGUUGAGGUGGACAGAUGACGACAUGCCAGUCCCCCAGCAGAUGCCCAACAUGACAAUACUAGGCGAGACGGCCCAGCUGAGAGUGAAGGGGCCCUGCAGACCCAGAGCAUCUCAGGGCUGCAGCCUCCAGUGAAAUCGCGGGUGUGAGCGAAGAUCGCCAACUGCUGCAAAAGGAAUGAACAGGAAUUCAAAAGACCAAACAUUUCAAACUAAACAGCAAAGCCAUUUGAAGGCAGCCUCCUGGUGGCCAGCGCCUUGUGCCCUGGGGUCACUUCUUAAAUUAAGGUGAAAGUUGAAGUCUAAGUGGAGAGGGAAGGAAGGAGAAAGGCCCUUGCAAGCAUCCCCGGUAGGUGACCAUCCGCUCCCUCUCUGUGGGAGUGCCUCCGAUAGCUGGAAAUCUCUGACGCAUCCCACGCUCGGCAGGAGAACAUGCUCUGUGACUCAUUCCCCGAAAUCCAGUGAAGUGUCAACGAGGAAUCGUGUCUAACUAGGCCCUGAGAGAAGACAGCAGACGGCAGGGAGACGCAGGUCUCCGCACAGCUCCAAG
ensembl:lncRNA